UACAGAGGGGGCAAGCGUUGUUCGGAAUUACUGGGCGUAAAGGGCGCGUAGGCGGCCUGUUAAGUCGAACGUGAAAUCCCCGGGCUCAACCCGGGAACUGCGUCCGAUACUGGCAGGCUUGAAUUCGGGAGAGGGAUGCGGAAUUCCAGGUGUAGCGGUGAAAUGCGCAGAUAUCAGGAGGAACACCAAUGGCGAAGGCAGCACUCUGGGACGUGACUGACGCUGAGACGCGAAAGCGUGGGGAGCAAACAGG
rnacentral:rRNA from 1 species